rnacentral:rRNA from 1 species
UACGUAGGGCGCAAGCGUUGUCCGGAAUUAUUGGGCGUAAAGAGCUCGUAGGCGGCUUGUCGCGUCGGAUGUGAAAGCCCGGGGCUUAACUCCGGGUCUGCAUUCGAUACGGGCAGGCUAGAGUUCGGUAGGGGAGAUCGGAAUUCCUGGUGUAGCGGUGAAAUGCGCAGAUAUCAGGAGGAACACCGGUGGCGAAGGCGGAUCUCUGGGCCGAUACUGACGCUGAGGAGCGAAAGCGUGUGGAGCGAACAGG